GUGUUGGUAGCUCAAAUGGAUAGAGCAACGCCCUCCUAAGGCGUAGGCUGUGGGUUCAAUUCCCGCUCAGCACACCA
rnacentral:tRNA from 1 species